ACAGUUAAUACAUUUACUCCGAUUUCAUCGGAUACCAGGUACUCCAUAUUUCCACCUCCACCUUCUCUCACCAUCAAAAUCCUAUAAACUAAUACUAUUCUCCUCCUUCCUUCCCUCGCCUCUCAACCUCCCCAAAAAUAAAAUCAGUGAUAUAAUUUGUGGGAAAUGAGCAAAAUAAGUUGGGAUUGAAUACGAGAAGAAGAUCUUCAAGUAAUUAAGAUACUAGAAAGCACAUCUAAUUAAUUUGCCUCAUCAUCAAGUUCUACAAUUUUUAUGCUCAUCAAAUCCACUGUCAAAACUUCCCCAAAGCUAUGGAUUUCGGCUAAAAAUUUAAAGGCAUGAGUACUUGUGUUAGUAUUGUGUCAAUUUGAGAAAUGAGGCUUAUGAGCUAUGAAGCACGGGUAACGCAGUUUAGUGAGGUAUCCGUACCGGGUACCUCUCGGGUACGGGUACCUCAUGGGUACGUACGAGAUUCGUAUUCAAAUAUUGGGUACGGUCAACUUAAAUGGGUACGGUCAACACCAUUUCUGGAGAACGUAGGGCGUGAGAAUACCUACUAGUGUUCGUGUGUGCAAUUUGUGAGACUAGCUUACCAAGGUAUGCGUGACACGUCAUGAGCGACCGUUUCACAACUACUAGUAGCAAGUUAUUAAUAACGUAGAUCACCUAAAGACAAACAUUUUGGUUUUAUUUAAUUCAGUUUGUAACAAUAUUUUGGGUGGUUGGUUUAAGUUAUUUAAUUAUGACAAUGUUGGUUUAUUUAUAAGGUUGGAUUAUUGAUGGAUAAUAUAGCCUUACAUUUGGGUUGUAGCCUAACUGUGGCGGUAAUACCCCUAAUUUAUUAUUUUAUGCUUCCGCUAUAAGACCUAAUCAGGUAUGGAAAUUGAGGGUGUUACAGUAUUA